UUAUCCAACAUACAUUGGCAUUUAUUUAGUUUUUUUGUUGUUGAUUUGCUUGAAUUUUAUGACACUGAAACAGACAAAUUUGUAUUCGCUUGCUGAAUGUAUGUAAGUGUGUGGGUGUGUAGUAAGUUUUAUAUGUGUGUGUGUGUUAAGUACUUUGGUUAUUAUUGUUGUCAAAGGGGAUUUUAAAUGUCUUUAGUGCUAUGGAGAUAUAAGCUGCGUGUGUGUGUGUGUUAGUGUGUGUGUUG